rnacentral:rRNA from 1 species
AGAGUUUGAUCAUGGCUCAGGACGAACGCUGGCGGCGUGCUUAACACAUGCAAGUCGAACGGAAAGGCCCAGCUUGCUGGGUACUCGAGUGGCGAACGGGUGAGUAACACGUGGGUGAUCUGCCCCAAACUUCGGGAUAAGCCUGGGAAACUGGGUCUAAUACCGGAUAUGACCUGCUCCUGCAUGGGGGUUGGUGGAAAGCUUUUGCGGUUUGGGAUGGGCCCGCGGCCUAUCAGCUUGUUGGUGGGGUAAUGGCCUACCAAGGCGACGACGGGUAGCCGACCCGAGAGGGUGAUCGGCCACACUGGGACUGAGACACGGCCCAGACUCCUACGGGAGGCAGCAGUGGGGAAUAUUGCACAAUGGGCGCAAGCCUGAUGCAGCGACGCCGCGUGAGGGAUGACGGCCUUCGGGUUGUAAACCUCUUUCGCCAGGGACGAAGCGCAAGUGACGGUACCUGGAGAAGAAGCACCGGCCAACUACGUG